rnacentral:lncRNA from 1 species
UUGUGUUAUUAAAAUUUGCUGUUACAAAAUGUUAGAAAUUAUUAUAAAUUAAGGAAUGUAUCUCCCUCAUGCAAAGCUCUGAUUCCUUUCACGGAUUUGGCUAUACCUUUUUGGACCUUUUGGAUUAUAGCUCUUCAUCUUUUAUAUAAGCUUUGGAUUUCAAAUAUUUUGGCCACGAGCAUCACUAAAGAGACAUGUAUUGUCGAAAU